rnacentral:rRNA from 1 species
CAGCAGCCACGGGAAUACGAAGGGGGCUAGCGUUGCUCGGAAUGACUGGGCGUAAAGGGCGCGUAGGCGGCGGCCAAAGUCAGGCGUGAAAUUCCUGGGCUCAACCUGGGGACUGCGCUUGAUACGGUCGAGCUAGAGGAUGGAAGAGGGUCGUGGAAUUCCCAGUGUAGAGGUGAAAUUCGUAGAUAUUGGGAAGAACACCGGUGGCGAAGGCGGCGACCUGGUCCAUUACUGACGCUGAGGCGCGACAGCGUGGGGAGCAAACAGGAUUAGAUACCCCUGUAGUCCCUGUCUCUUAUAC